ACGGGGGUGUAGACCACCGUAAACCGGGGGGGAGGGGAAACGUCAGGCUCCGGCCUGGUCCCUGCUAUCCGUGGCGCCCUCCUUCUUCCUUCCUGGAGGCAGAGUACAAACAGUGUGACUGGUGGCCGCUGAGACACAAAAGCACUGUUAACUUGGACUUGGGGUAUUUCUCGCCGGCUCUGCUGUUUACAGCUCUCUUGGUAGGUAUCACUUUCCACAGUCUGUUCUCCUAAGGUUCACUCUCGUUCUCCCUUCUCUCCACAGGUGGCCGCUGGGACACAAAAGCACUGUUAACUUGGACUUUGAGUAUUUCUCACCGGCUCUGCUGUUUACAGCUCUCUGGGUGGCCGCUAGGACACAAAAGCACUGUUAACUUGGACUUUGAGUAUUUCUCACCGGCUCUGCUGUUUACAGCUCUCUGGGAUUUUCCUUUUACUCCAGCGUGUCCACCGCAGA